ACGCUGGCGGCGUGCCUAAUACAUGCAAGUCGAACGGUCUUUCUAUGGAAGCUUGCUUCCACUGAGAAGAUAGUGGCGAACGGGUGAGUAACACGUGGGUAACCUGCCCAUAAGAGGGGGGAUAACAUCCGGAAACGGGUGCUAAUACCGCAUAGUUUUCUUGAUCGCAUGAUUGAGAAAGGAAAGACGGCCUUUGUGCUGUCGCUUAUGGAUGGACCCGCGGCGUAUUAGUUAGUUGGUGAGGUAACGGCUCACCAAGAUGAUGAUACGUAGCCGACCUGAGAGGGUGAUCGGCCACAUUGGGACUGAGACACGGCCCAAACUCCUACGGGAGGCAGCAGUAGGGAAUCUUCCGCAAUGGACGAAAGUCUGACGGAGCAACGCCGCGUGAGUGAAGAAAAGGGUUUUCGGAUCGUAAAACUCUGUUGUCAGAGAAGAACAAGUUGGAGAGUAACUGCUCCAGCCUUGACGGUAUCUGACCAGAAAGCCACGGCUAACUACGUGCCAGCCGCGGC
rnacentral:rRNA from 1 species